GGGGUUGUGGUCUAGUGGUAUGACAUCUUCUUAGCAUUGUUCUUUGAACAUGACUGAGUGGAGAAGGUUCUGGGUUCGAUUCCCAGCUACUCCA
rnacentral:tRNA from 1 species